rnacentral:lncRNA from 1 species
UUUUAUUAAAAGGAAAUACAAACCAAAUUUAAUUUAGAGAGAAUCCCCCCCAUUGACGUAUAGUGGACUUGAUGAUCGUUAUCCAGGCGAUGAUCCUUCCUCGUCUCCAUCAGUUUGAUCUAGUGAAUGUGGCUAGAACUUCUUGAGACCCAUGGUAUGGGUGAUGUCCCAUUGAGGGCUCGACGGUCCAUUUACUUCUCUGUUGGAUGACUUCUUGAUUCAUGUUAUUCUGUCUAAGGUCUAUGUAUAGUCGACAUCCCAUUGAGUCAUCGUUAGUCCAUUAUUUUCUCUUUCACUAGGUUUAUUCAAUUUUUUACAUUCUAUUUUACGUCCAUGCUAAUGGAGAUGGUCCAUACAUGACUUUAUGGCCCAUGUGAGGCUUCUUGUACUUGGU